ACGAACGCUGGCGGCAUGCCUAACACAUGCAAGUCGAACGAGACCUUCGGGUCUAGUGGCGCACGGGUGCGUAACGCGUGGGAACCUGCCCUUAGGUUCGGAAUAACUCCCCGAAAGGGGUGCUAAUACCGGAUAAUGUCUUCGGACCAAAGAUUUAUCGCCUUUGGAUGGGCCCGCGUUGGAUUAGCUAGUUGGUAGGGUAAAAGCCUACCAAGGCGACGAUCCAUAGCUGGUCUGAGAGGAUGAUCAGCCACACUGGGACUGAGACACGGCCCAGACUCCUAACGGAAGGAGGAAUGGGGGAAAAAUGAACAGUGGGCGAAAGCCUAACCAGCAAAUGCCGGGUAAGUAAGGAGGGCUUUGGGGUUGUAAGCCUCUUUACCCCGGGAGGUUAAUACAGGAACGGGAGGAUAAAGCCCCGCCAACCUCGUG
rnacentral:rRNA from 1 species